rnacentral:rRNA from 1 species
GAUGAACGCUGGCGGCGUGCCUAAUACAUGCAAGUCGAGCGAACAGACGAGGAGCUUGCUCCUCUGACGUUAGCGGCGGACGGGUGAGUAACACGUGGAUAACCUACCUAUAAGACUGGGGUAACUUCGGGAAACCGGAGCUAAUACCGGAUAAUAUAUUGAACCGCAUGGUUCAAUAGUGAAAGACGGUUUUGCUGUCACUUAUAGAUGGAUCCGCGCCGCAUUAGCUAGUUGGUAAGGUAACGGCUUACCAAGGCAACGAUGCGUAGCCGACCCGAGAGGGUGAUCGGCCACACUGGAACUGAGACACGGUCCAGACUCCUACGGGAGGCAGCAGUAGGGAAUCUUCCGCAAUGGGCGAAAGCCUGACGGAGCAACGCCGCGUGAGUGAUGAAGGUCUUCGGAUCGUAAAACUCUGUUAUUAGGGAAGAACAAAUGUGUAAGUAACUAUGCACGUCUUGACGGUACCUAAUCAGAAAGCCACGGCUAACUACGUG